rnacentral:rRNA from 1 species
AGAGUUUGAUCCUGGCUCAGCCUUAACGCUGGCGGCGUGCCUAACACAUGCAAGUCGAGCGGCCUAAUCUUGAUGAAGUUUUCGGAUGGAAUCAGGAUUGACUUAGCGGCGGACGGGUGAGUAGCACGUGGAUAACCUGCCUUAUACUGGGGGAUAACAGCCAGAAAUGGCUGCUAAUACCGCUUAAGCGCACGGCGCCGCAUGGCGCAGUGUGAAAAACUCCGGUGGUAUAAGAUGGAUCCGCGCCUGAUUAGCUAGUUGGCGGGGCAGCGGCCCACCAAGGCGACGAUCAGUAGCCGGCCUGAGAGGGCGACCGGCCACAUUGGGACUGAGACACGGCCCAAACUCCUACGGGAGGCAGCAGUGGGGAAUAUUGCACAAUGGGGGGAACCCUGAUGCAGCGACGCCGCGUGAGUGAAGAAGUAUUUCGGUAUGUAAAGCUCUAUCAGCAGGGAAGAAGAUGACGGUACCUGACUAAGAAGCCCCGGCUAACUACGUGCCAGCAGCCGCGGUAAUACGUAGGGGGCAAGCGUUAUCCGGAUUUACUGGGUGUAAAGGGAGCGUAGACGGCAGGGCAAGUCUGGAGUGAAAGCCCGGGGCCCAACCCCGGGACUGCUUUGGAAACUGCCAUGCUAGAGUGCUGGAGAGGUAAGCGGAAUUCCUAGUGUAGCGGUGAAAUGCGUAGAUAUUAGGAGGAACACCAGUGGCGAAGGCGGCUUACUGGACAGUAACUGACGUUGAGGCUCGAAAGCGUGGGGAGCAAACAGGAUUACAUACCCUGGUACUCCACGCCGUAAACGAUGAAUGCUAGGUGUCGGUGGGCAAAGCCCAUCGGUGCCGCCGCA